rnacentral:rRNA from 1 species
UACGUAGGGGGCAAGCGUUGUCCGGAUUUAUUGGGCGUAAAGAGCUCGUAGGCGGUCUGUCGCGUCGGAUGUGAAAACCCAGGGCUCAACCCUGGGCCUGCAUUCGAUACGGGCAGACUAGAGUACGGCAGGGGAGACUGGAAUUCCUGGUGUAGCGGUGAGAUGCGCAGAUAUCAGGAGGAACACCGGUGGCGAAGGCGGGUCUCUGGGCCGUAACUGACGCUGAGGAGCGAAAGCGUGGGGAGCGAACAGG